UGAUGAUGGUGAGGGCACUUUUUGAGCAUACCCUUAAAUCUCUCCCAAGCUUGGUAGAGAAUCUCUCCUUCUUUUUGUCUAAAACUCAAGAUCUCACUUCUUAAGCG
rnacentral:snoRNA from 1 species